rnacentral:ncRNA from 16 species
CGAUGUAUAAGCGCAUCUGGCCAUGCCUAAACACGGACACUGCGGGAAGCCGGUGAGAUUCCGGCGCGGUCGCGCCACUGUAUCGGGGGAAGCCGAAUAUCAGUCAGUUUCCCGGAGCCAGACCUCUCAGUGUCAUCCUUCACCCU